CUAUAAGUACUUUGUAGACCUUGUUGUAACUCAUGUUUCAUUUUUUUUCUGGUUUAUCUCCAAAUAUUAGCUGUGAACGUUUGUUGUUACAGUUUUGAUCUGAGCUUUGACUAGCCCAUUUGUUUCCAACUAUUCUGACAAGCCUUGUCCUAAAGUGUUGUCCGCACUUGCUGUCGAGGUUUGAGAUCCAUUAGUCUCUCACAGGAUAGUAUUUUUUUUUGUUUAUUUCUGGACAUGUGUCGCUGGAGUUUGACUAACAUUACGUUAAGGAUGGAGAGUUAAGU